ACGGCCUAAUUUUUGCUUUGCCUACGAUUUUUCUCAGUCGCACCCAUAUUUUCUUCCCAAUGAAUUGUAGAUUUCUUCGCUGAUUUGUAGCAGAAAUCGGGCAUUUUGUUACAGAAACCGGGGGCAUUGCUUCGCUGAUUUCUCUCGAUUUCUCUUCGUCACGGCGUUGCUUGAGGUACCCAAUACGGGGGUUAAUUUCGAAAGCAAACAGGAAGGCAAAAUCUGGUUAGAUUCGAAGAGAUGACGGACAAAGUUAUUCCCCUUCCUCAUUUGAGUUUGAUUUCUCUUGAUUCCUCUUUGAGUCGUUAUUGUCAUGUAGCAAACAUAAGAUUGUUCCUGAUAGUUUACACAAUUUCAAAGUUUGAUUGUCAAUAAGUUGUUAAACAUAAUUUUGACGUUCUGUGGGUGGAAAGUUUAACCCAUAUAUUAUGUAGUUCAACCUUCUCUUUGUGGUAUGUGAGUUAGCUCAGAGAUCCACCAUUGGCCAUUGGAAUGUAAACAAAUAGCCACUCGAGGUAACUUGAAUUGUGUCCCAGCCUAUGGAUUAGUGUACAUUUUUCACACAAGUAGAUGUGCUAAUGAAUGAUCUUUGACCUUUCGAACCAAAAGAUGACGGAAAAAGUGAUUAAUAAAACUCCUAAUUUUGGUAUCGUUUGUCCAAUUUGAUACAGUUUUGGACCCUAGAAACUGCAUCAAAAUCGGGUGUUUUGGGCUCAAAUGUUUAGGACCAUCUUAAAUGAUCUUUGGGUUGAAUAAACAUGUCCUAGAUUCUACACCCUUACUUAGUGAAAUGAUGGAAGUCUGGUAUAUAAAAAAAUGCUAGACCUAGUCAUACUAAUUUGCAGCAAGCAAUGUUCGAGUACUUGUGUUCCAAGGAUGAAUUAUAUGCAGGUACUUGUGUUCGUUAUAAUUUUUCCUUUUUUGUGGCAGCGAAAGAAAUUUCGGAAGAGGUGAAGAAUGAUAUCUUGUUAGAAUCAGAUAACAACAAUAUGUUGGAAAGUGUUAACUUAGUGGAUGAUGGAACUGCAGGAUUAGAUUGUAUGAUUGUGCCCAAGGUAGGUAUGAAGCUCGAUGAUGAAAAAGAAAUGUUUGAUUUUUACAAAAGAUAUGCGUACAACGUGGGCUUCCCGGUUAGGAAAAGAAACUCGCAAAAGGAUGAUGACGGAAUUGUGAGAUAUGUUGUGUUUACAUGUAGCCGUGAUGGUCGAAGGAGUAGUACCACAAGCGGUUCUAUGAAGCCGCAAACUACCAUUCAAACAGGUUGUAAAGCUAGGCUGAUUGCACCUGUAGAUGCAUGCGGAGUAUGGAGAAUUAAUAUAGCCAAUCUCAUUCACAAUCAUAAAACCAACCCUUCAAAGUCCAGGUUAUAUCGUUGCAAACCGAGAAUUGAGUGCCCAUGUCAAACUACAGCUUGAAGUGAACGACAUGGCAGGGAUUCCGUUGCAUAAAAGUUAUAACUCUACAAUUGUAGAAGUAGGGGGUGUGAGAAUAUGACUUGUAUCGAAGAGGAUUGUUGAAAUUAAGUUGAAUAGGUGAGGCGGUUAAGAUUUGGAGAAGGAGAUGCCGCAGCGAUACAUGUUUACUUUUCGAACAUGCAAGCAAAGUGCUCAAGUUUUUUCUUUAUUAUGGAUUUAGACGAAGAGUCGCGGUUGAGGAAUAUUUUCUGGAUAGAUAAUAAGAGUAGGCAAGCAUAUAAGGAGUUUGUGGACAUGGUAACAUUCGAUACCACGUACUUAACUAAUAAGUAUGACAUGCCAUUUGCGCCGUUUGUUGGAGUUAAUCAUCAUGGACAAUCAACACUCCUUGAUUUUGCAAGAAAGUGCAUAGUAGUAGUAAUUAUUUGUCUCUUAUGCAAGGCUAUCCAACUUCAGUCAAGGAAAGGAGAACUAAGGCAGGCCCAAGUCCACUAGAAGAAGUUGAAUCGGUCCGAUACUCCAUGUAGCAACCAGUCUCAUAUUCACAACGUCUGAUGGGUGCCGGUGAAAGUUAUGCAUUUACACAACAACAAACGACUCCCAAUUUUAUCCAAUUGGAUUGGACAAAUGAUAUGUUGUAUGCUGGACAAGCAAUGCCUAAUUACAUUCCAAAUGUACCUCUCUGGCAUGGACCGAACUUUUGAUGUUAUACGAAGAAGAAUGAUGGACAGCUAUU